rnacentral:lncRNA from 1 species
UACGACUUGCAUAUAUGGGUCCUCAAGUUAUUAAUGAUGGAGCGACUGUGAACUACUUGACUGCUUCUCGUGAAGUCUACCAACUUCAGUUGAAUUGGAUUAAUUAAUAAUCCAAUCAAUCAAAUAACAUGGAUAAUUCAGCAUGCUAGUUUCACAUUUUGAUUGUGAAGUGCUGCUUUAGUCAUUGUCAUAGUUGAAAAUAUUGCCCGAUGUUAUGUCAUCAGUCCAUGGCAAUAAAUUCAUAGAUCACAGAGAUCUUUUUUUUCUAAAGAUUGUUUUCAGGCUAAUCGUUUCAUUGGAAGUUUGAACUGGGAAAUCUAUGGG